CCCACAAAGGGUGUUGGUCG
rnacentral:siRNA from 1 species